GUGUCGUCGAUGAUGAAUAUAUAAGCCAUUGUAUGAUGGAUAUAUAAGUAGUAGAGAUGCAAUCUACCGAUGCAAAAGUACUUGACAAGUGUGUGAUGAGUUAUAUAUGUCCGUGAGGACAAAAAAAUAAGAUAAAAAAAAUGCAAUUUUGAGAUAUAAUGAAGACGUUUCCCAUUUGUAUUUUUGUUAUUUUUGUCGUAAUCAUUCGCGCUAUAUAUGGAGGCGAUCGAGAAAAUAGAUAUUAUUAUCCGUUAUUUUGGUUUGGAAGAACCGACUAUCGCGAUUAUAAUCGUUAUCGUAACGUCAGAUGGUCGCUCGAGAACUUAAAACGAAGGUCAACUACUACAUCUUACGCCGAGAUUGGAAGUGCAUGGGGCCGUUGAAGACAGGACAAAAGACAGUCGUAAACAAACUUUGUUGUGAAAUUAAUAGAAAACCAAAAAGAAAGGAGAAAAAGAAGGGUUCACGUGAACAAAUAACAUCAUGAAAAUUUGUUCAUUCAUUUUGAAGCGAGGAAACAUUUAAUGAAAUCAUUAUUUGGAACUCAAAAAAAAAGUUCUCAUCUCUCGAUAAGACGACAUCUAACUCGAAGCUCCUCAUGAAUAUUUAAUGUCUAUGGAGAACAAAGGGCAAGUGAAUGAGAGAGAGAUGAGUUUUUGUUUUUUUUUCGAGAAUCAUAAAAGAUCGUUUUAGAGCGUGACACCAAGGAUGCAUUAACGACCUAGUGAUUUUCUUUAUAGAGCUCUUUGUACGAUAUCUUCUUCAUCGAUCAUGAACAAAUGAAAAAAAAAGAUCAAGAAAGAGAAAUAUGUAAAUCGUGAUCGAUUUUUCGCAUUAUCGGCUUUAAAAGUUACUAAGAGAUUGUUCUUCUAAUUUUCUGAUAUUCAUGUUGAUAGAUUAGAGUAUUGUAGAGAUAUAAUAUAGAGAUAUAAAUUUUCAUAAUAUCCUUACGAAAAAUUUCAUAUUUUACAUCAUAUUUUAAACAGCGAAAGAAUUUAAAAAUACGAAAAUCAAUGUUAUAUUCUUUAUUCGGAAGUCGAAUUGCUUUAGCUUGAUUAAGAAGAAAAGACGAAAAUCGAUAUUAAUAUUCCUUACGAAAGUAAAAUCGUUUCAGAAGAAACUCACCGUGAGAAUAAAUGGGGAAUUCUCCAUCGCUGUGACUAUGAGUUAGCAUCCCAGCCGAGUAGAAUUGCCAGAGUGCUCUCUUCCUGCUUUCUUCAGAGGUACCUGCUAAGACCUCGUCGUCAUCGGCGAGGCCCAGCAGGCUCACUAGUCCCGAAAGAGACAGAUUGAAAUGGACGAUUCAAAUUUUAAAAAAACCUUGAAAUUAGAUUUCCUUCUUCACGUUGUUAUUUUGUCGUUAGUAAAUCCACGAUGAAUACUUGAAACACUUUCGUUCGCAAAAGGAACUUCUAACACAUUUAAUAAGCAACCUUUGCAUUAUGAUAAAACAAAUGAUAUUAAAAUAAUCUCCACGAUCGUUAUCUUCACUAUUGUCAUUGUCGUGAGAUAACCAAAGGCGAACUGCGAAGAUGGCAGGUUUAAGAUCGAUAAUUUUGCACUUUAAUUAUCUCGAUUUGUGAUCGACUUCACUUUGCACAGUUUCACGGUAACUUUCGAUUCUCUUUCUUUUUAUCUCAAGUUUAUUCUCUUAUUGUUUCAAAAUGCUCAGUUCAAUUUUCAUAUCUAUUUUAACAAAAGAACGACAAUCACAGAUUCAUUUGGACAAUGAAUGAGUAUAUAUUAUGUUGUGCGAACAGCAAAAUUCUCACGUGUGUAAUGCGAUUUUAAGGGAAAGCAAUGAAUGAUUCAAAUACCGGAGGAAUAUCCUUACGCUUUACCGGAAGUUACUAGAUACCUCUCAUAGGAUCUCGAUCAAUCUAACCUUAAUAAUAAUGUACUUCUCGACCGCUCAAGUUUAAUAUUCGAUAUUCCUGCUCGUAAAUAAAAAAUAAACUGAAUUUCCAUGAA